CGUUGACCUCGGAUCAGGUAGGAAUACCCGCUGAACUUAAGCAUAUCAAUAAGCGGAGGAAAAGAAACCAACAGGGAUUGCCUCAGUAACGGCGAGUGAAGCGGCAACAGCUCAAAUUUGAAAUCUGGCCCUAGGCCCGAGUUGUAAUUUGCAGAGGAUGCUUUUGGCGCGGUGCCUUCCGAGUUCCCUGGAACGGGACGCCAUAGAGGGUGAGAGCCCCGUCUGGUCGGACACCAAGCCUCUGUAAAGCUCCUUCGACGAGUCGAGUAGUUUGGGAAUGCUGCUCAAAAUGGGAGGUAUAUGUCUUCUAAAGCUAAAUACCGGCCAGAGACCGAUAGCGCACAAGUAGAGUGAUCGAAAGAUGAAAAGCACUUUGGAAAGAGAGUUAAACAGCACGUGAAAUUGUUAAAAGGGAAGCGUUUAUGACCAGACUUGGGCCGGUUAAUCAUCCAGCGUUCUCGCUGGUGCACUUUGCCGGUCCAGGCCAGCAUCAGUUCGCUGCGGGGGAUAAAGGCGUCGGGAAUGUGGCUCCUCGGAGUGUUAUAGCCCUUCGCGUAAUACCCUGCGGUGGACUGAGGUUCGCGCUCUGCAAGGAUGCUGGCGUAAUGGUCAUCAACGACCCGUCUUGAAACACGGACCAAGGAGUCGUCUUCGUAUGCGAGUGUUCGGGUGUAAAACCCCUACGCGUAAUGAAAGUGAACGCAGGUGAGAGCUUCGGCGCAUCAUCGACCGAUCCUGAUGUUCUCGGAUGGAUUUGAGUAAGAGCAUACGGGGCCGGACCCGAAAGAAGGUGAACUAUGCCUGUAUAGGGUGAAGCCAGAGGAAACUCUGGUGGAGGCUCGCAGCGGUUCUGACGUGCAAAUCGAUCG
rnacentral:rRNA from 1 species